GGUCAAGUAAUGAAGUGCACAUGGUGGAUGCCUUGGCAGUCAGAGGCGAUGAAAGACGUGAUAGCCUGCGAUAAGCGUCGGUGAGGUGGCAAUAUCCUGUGACCCGGCGAUUUCUGAAUGGGGAAACCCAACCAACACAAGUUGGUUAUUACACAGUUUACUGUGUAAGGCAAACCGGGAGAAGUGAAACAUCUCAGUACCCGAGGAAAAGACAUCAAAUGAGAUUCCGUAAGUAGCGGCGAGCGAACACGGAGGAGCCGAUCAAUUUUACAGUAGCAAAAUGGCGUGGAAAAGCCAACCAUAGUAGGUGAUAGUCCUGUAUGCGAAACUGUUUAAGCGACAUAUUAAGUAGGGCGGAACACGAGAAAUUCUGUCUGAAGAUGGGGGACCAUCCUCCAAGGCUAAAUACUCCUGACUGACCGAUAGUGAACCAGUACCGUGAGGGAAAGGCGAAAAGAACCCCUGUUAGGGGAGUGAAAUAGAACCUGAAACCGUGUGCAUACAAGCAGUCGGAGCGGACUUGUUCCGUGACGGCGUACCUUUUGUAUAAUGGGUCAGCGACUUAUAUUCUGUAGCAAGGUUAACCGAAUAGGGGAGCCGUAGGGAAACCGAGUCUUAAUAGGGCGAAUGAGUUGCAGGGUAUAGACCCGAAACCGAGUGAUCUAUCCAUGAGCAGGUUGAAAGUGCCGUAACAGGCACCGGAGGACCGAACCCACUGUCGUUGAAAAGCCAGGGGAUGACUUGUGGAUAGGGGUGAAAGGCUAAUCAAACUCGGUGAUAGCUGGUUCUCCCCGAAAGCUAUUUAGGUAGCGCCUCGGACGAACACCAUUGGGGGUAGAGCACUGUUUCGGCUAGGGGGUCAUCCCGACUUACCAAACCGAUGCAAACUCCGAAUACCGAUGAGUGAUAUCCGGGAGACAGACGGCGGGUGCUAACGUCCGUCGUCAAGAGGGAAACAACCCAGACCGCCAGCUAAGGCCCCAAAUUCCUAGUUAAGUGGGAAACGAUGUGGGAAGGCACAGACAGCUAGGAGGUUGGCUUAGAAGCAGCCACCCUUUAAAGAAAGCGUAAUAGCUCACUAGUCGAGUCGGCCUGCGCGGAAGAUGUAACGGGGCUCAAACUAGGAGCCGAAGCUGCGGAUUUAAUUGUUUCAAUUAAGUGGUAGGGGAGCGUUGUGUAAGCCUGUGAAGGUGCACUGUAAGGUGUGCUGGAGGUAUCACAAGAGCGAAUGCUGACGUGAGUAACGACAAAACGGGUGAAAAGCCCGUUCGCCGGAAGACCAAGGGUUCCAGUCCAACGUUAAUCGGGGCUGGGUGAGUCGACCCCUAAGGCGAGGCCGAAAGGCGUAGUCGAUGGGAAAUCGGUUAAUAUUCCGAUACUUGUUUAUGAUGCGAUGGAGGGACGGAGAAGGUUAUGCCAGCCUGGCGAUGGUUGUCCAGGUGGAAGGAUGUAGUUAGACUGAGUAGGCAAAUCCGCUCGGUUAUUAAUGAGAUCUGAUAGCAAGCCAGUUUACUGGCGAAGUGGCAAAUACCCUGCUUCCAGGAAAAGCUUCUAAGCGAUAGUCAUAAACGAAUCGUACCCGAAACCGACACAGGUGGUCAGGUAGAGAAUACCAAGGCGCUUGAGAGAACUCUGCUGAAGGAACUAGGCAAAAUGGUACCGUAACUUCGGGAGAAGGUACGCUGCCGAUGGUGAUGAAACUUGCUUUCUGAGCUGUUGGCAGUCGCAGAUACCAGGCUGCUGCAACUGUUUAUUAAAAACACAGCACUCUGCAAACACGAAAGUGGACGUAUAGGGUGUGAUGCCUGCCCGGUGCUGGAAGGUUAAUUGAUGGGGUUAGCGUAAGCGAAGCUCUUGAUCGAAGCCCCAGUAAACGGCGGCCGUAACUAUAACGGUCCUAAGGUAGCGAAAUUCCUUGUCGGGUAAGUUCCGACCUGCACGAAUGGCAUAAUGAUGGCAGCGCUGUCUCCAGCAGAGACUCAGUGAAAUCGAAAUCGCAGUGAAGAUGCUGUGUACCCGCGGCUAGACGGAAAGACCCCGUGAACCUUUACUACAGCUUUACAUUGAACUUUGACCUAACUUGUGUAGGAUAGGUGGGAGGCUUUGAAGCAGAUACGCCAGUAUUUGUGGAGCCAACCUUGAAAUACCACCCUGGUUAUGUUGGGGUUCUAACUUAGAUAUAACAGUAUCAAGGACAAUGUAUGGUGGGUAGUUUGACUGGGGCGGUCUCCUCCUAAAGAGUAACGGAGGAGUACGAAGGUGCGCUCAGAACGGUCGGAAAUCGUUCAAAGAGUAUAAAGGCAAAAGCGCGCUUAACUGCGAGACCCACAAGUCGAGCAGGUACGAAAGUAGGUCUUAGUGAUCCGGUGGUUCUGUAUGGAAGGGCCAUCGCUCAACGGAUAAAAGGUACUCUGGGGAUAACAGGCUGAUACCGCCCAAGAGUUCAUAUCGACGGCGGUGUUUGGCACCUCGAUGUCGGCUCAUCUCAUCCUGGGGCUGAAGCAGGUCCCAAGGGUAUGGCUGUUCGCCAUUUAAAGAGGUACGCGAGCUGGGUUUAGAACGUCGUGAGACAGUUCGGUCCCUAUCUACCGUGGGCGUUGGAAAUUUGAGAGGAUCUGCUCCUAGUACGAGAGGACCAGAGUGGACGAACCUCUGGUGUUUCGGUUGUCACGCCAGUGGCAUUGCCGAGUAGCUACGUUCGGAUGGGAUAACCGCUGAAAGCAUCUAAGCGGGAAGCCCACCUCAAGAUGAGAUUUCCCUAAGAGCCGUUGUAGACUACGACGUUGAUAGGUUGGGUGUGGAAGUGUAGUGAUACAUGUAGCUAACCAAUACUAAUUGCUCGUUUGGCUUGACCAU
rnacentral:rRNA from 1 species